rnacentral:lncRNA from 1 species
UGAUACCAACUUGUCACGACCCAAAUCCCGGUCGUGAUGGCGCCCAACACACUACUAGGCAAGCCCGACCAUUAUUCAACACUUAACCCAAUUUAUCAAAAAUAGUGGAAAGAAAUAUCAAUUAAGCAAGAUUAAAGUACUGAAGAAUUUAACAAAAUACACAAUAUAACCUCACUAGGACCUGGUGUCACAAAUCUGAGCCUCUAAAAUACAGAAUAUCAUCCUAAUACAUGGUAUGUCCAAAGUCUGAUAAUGCGGAAAUAAAGAGAUAGGAUAGGAGGGAGAAGAUCAAUGGCUGCGAAUGUCGUGCAGCUACCUCGAUACUCCCAGAGGUUGGAUCUGCUGAUCAACUGGAUCUACUGAGCCUGAGACUGCCUUGGAUCUGCACACAAGGUGCAGGGAGUAAAGUGAGUACUACGACCCAUUGAGUAAUAAAAGUGACUACAGUCCGAAAAUAAGAAAAUCCAGUAAAUACACAAAGUAAGCUAAAAUCCAAAUAUACAGCAACAUAUGGAACUGAGCAACUAAACAACAGUAUAAAUAGAAAUACAUGAAUGCAACGCAAUGCAUAUGAUGGUACAUUCCAGUACCCACUGCGGCAUGCAGCCCGAGCUAUCCAUAUUUAUUUAUCGUUGAUGGCGCUCACUGGGGGUGUUACAGACUCCGGAGGGGCUCCUACAGCCCAAGCACAAUAUCUUGGUUAGUCAUUGUUACCUGACCGGUCAGCCAUUGUUACCUAACCAAUUUAUAUCAUACAGUGCCAUUGUUACCACUGUUCAAGUAUAUCAUCCAGUGUCAUUGUUACCACUAUUUCAAGUAUAUCACACAGUAUCAUUGUUACCACUAUUUCAAGUAUAUCACACAGUGUCAUUGUUACCACUGUUUCAAGUAUAUCACACAGUGUCAUUGUUACCACUAUUUCAAGUAUAUCACACAGUGUCAUUGUUACCACUGUUUCAAGUCACUUUAUAAUCAAUCCAAAAAAUAAUAUAAUAAGCCCCUUGGGCAUUUACAAAACAGAAGUUCCCAGCCCGGAAUACAUUUAAAAAUAUCAUUUAAGUUUUCAACACUUAGAAUUAUGGCUGAGUUUGCAAAACAGCAUUUAAAACCUUGGACUGAAAUUAAAUGAUAUGCAAAUCAUGCUAAGCAGUAAUAUUAAUCCUCGAAUGAUUUUACAAAUCGGCACAAGGCCCCAAACAUGGCAUCAAGCCCAGUAAUAUCAAUGAAGUAUGUGUAUCAAUCACCAGUAUAGUAUAAACAUCACACGGGAUGGACCAAGCCACAAUCCCCAAUAGUAUCCGACCCCGCACUCGCCAUGGAGUGCGUGUCACGCCUCAAUAUAGCGUUACGAUGUGAAAGUCCGGGAUUUCAUACCCUCAGAACAGCAUUUACAUCUAUUACUCACCUCUAACCGACCGUAGACUAGUCCGCAAUGCCCUUUCCUCUUGAAUCGACCUUUUCGCACGUCGAAUCUAGUCA